rnacentral:rRNA from 1 species
GACGAACGCUGGCGGCGUGCUUAACACAUGCAAGUCGAACGGUGAAGCGAGUGCUUGCACUCGUGGAUCAGUGGCGAACGGGUGAGUAACACGUGAGUAACCUGCCCAUCACUCUGGGAUAAGCACUGGAAACGGUGUCUAAUACUGGAUACGACCAACCCUUGCAUGGGGUGUUGGUGGAAAGAUUUAUCGGUGAUGGAUGGACUGGCUGCCUAUCAGCUUGUUGGCGGGUGAAUGGCCCACCAAGGCGCCGACGGGUAGCCGGCCUGAGAGGGGGACCGGCCACACGGGGACUGAGAAACGGCCAGGACUCCUCCGGGAGGCAGCAUGGGGGAUUAUGGCAAAAUGGGCGAAGGCCUGUUGCAGGGAGGCGGGGUGAGGGAUGACGGCCUCCGGGUUGUAACCCUCUUCCCGCAGGGAAGAAGCGAAAGUGACGGUACCUGCAGAAGAAGCACCGGCUAACUACGUG